AUACGUAGGGGACGAGCGUUGUCCGGAAUUACUGGGCGUAAAGCGCGUGUAGGCGGUUUGUUAAGUCUGAGGUUAAAGCUUGGGGCUCUACCCCAUAAAGCCUUGGGAACUGAUUGACUAGAGUACGGGAGAAGUGAAGGGAACUCCAUGUGUAGCGGUGAAAUGCGUAGAUAUAUGGAAGAACACCAGUGGCGAAGGGGCUUCACUAGCCCGAAACUGACGCUCAGUCACGAAAGCGUGGGUAGCAAAUAGGAUUAGAUACCCUAGUAGUCCACGCCGUAAACGAUGAGUACUAAGUGUUGGAUGUCAAAGUUCAGUGCUGCAGUUAACGCAAUAAGUACUCCGCCUGAGUAGUACGUUCGCAAGAAUGAAACUCAAAUGAAUUGACGGGGACUUAAAUGAAUUGGCGGGG
rnacentral:rRNA from 1 species